AAACCCUGAAGCAGCAACGCCGCGUGAGGGAUGAAGGCCUUCGGGUUGUAAACCUCUUUUGUCAGGGACGAUGAUGACGGUACCUGGCGAAUAAGCCACGGCUAACUACGUGCCAGCAGCCGCGGUAAUACGUAGGUGGCAAGCGUUGUCCGGAUUUACUGGGCGUAAAGAGCGCGCAGGCGGUCUUGUAAGUCGAAUGUGAAAGCCCCUGGCUCAACCAGGGAGGGUCAUUCGAUACUGCUUGACUCGAAGGCAGGAGAGGGAAGUGGAAUUCCGGGUGUAGUGGUGAAAUGCGUAGAUAUCCGGAGGAACACCAGUGGCGAAGGCGACUUUCUGGCCUGUUCUUGACGCUGAGGCGCGAAAGCUAGGGGAGCAAACGGGAUUAGAUACCCCGGUAGUCCUAGCGGUAAACGAUGUACACUUGGUGUGAGCGCGAUCUGCGUUUGUGCCGAAGUUAACGCAAUAAGUGUACCGCCUGGGGAGUACGGUCGCAAGGCUG
rnacentral:rRNA from 1 species